CGCGCAGGCGGAUUAGCAAGUCAGAGGUGAAAUCCUACAGCUUAACUGUAGAACUGCCUUUGAAACUGUUAGUCUUGAGUGCGGAAGAGAGAAGCGGAAUUCCAGGUGUAGUGGUGAAAUACGUAGGUAUCUGGAAGAACACCAGUUGCGAAGGCGGCUUCUUGGUCCGUUACUGACGCUGAGGCGCGAAAGCGUGGGGAGCAAACA
rnacentral:rRNA from 1 species